rnacentral:rRNA from 1 species
AUGAAUCGGCAAUGGAUGUACGGUAACCGACUCUCCGGCGAGUUCACUACGGGUUUGAAAGAUUUCCUCGUAGUGGCUAAUGCGAACAAGCAGGGGGGUUUUGUUAUCUGUCCAUGUGUUAUCUGUAAGAAUCAGAAAGGUUACUCUUUCUCAAGAGAUGUUCACAUGCAUCUGCUUCGGCACGGUUUCAUGCCAAGCUAUAAUUGUUGGACCAAGCAUGGAGAAAGAGGGGUUAUAAUGGAAGAAGAUGAAGAAGGGGAUGAUUUCAUCGAUGAAAGCUAUCUUGCUCAUUUCGGUGAUACUUUCAUGGAGGAUGCUGAAGGUGAAGGGGAAGGUGAAGAAGAGGCACGUGAUGAUCCCGUUGAUGAUCUUGGUCGGACCAUUGCUGAUGCACGGAGACGUUGCGAAACUGAAAAGGAGAGGGAGAAUUUGGAUCGCAUGUUAGAGGAUCAUAGAAAGGCGCUGUACACCGGAUGCGAUGAUGGUCUGAAAAAGCUGGGCUGCACACUGGAUUUGCUGAAAUGGAAGGCAGAGGCAGGUGUAGCUGACUCGGCAUUUGAAAACUUGCUGAAAAUGUUGAAGAAUAUGUUUCCAAAGGAUAACGAGUUGCCCGCCAGUACGUACGAAGCAAAGAAGGUUGUCUGCCCUCUAGGUUUAGAGGUUCUGAAGAUACAUGCAUGCAUCAAC